AUAAAACCAUAUCCUUAAAACAAUUCUAGGGCAGAGUUCAACGUGUGGAGCAAUCAGCAAAGACAUUGAUUCCUGAUUCCUAGUAUAGUUGUCUAUGUACUGAGAGGGUGGUAGUUAAGUGGAAGAGCCUCCUAGCAGAAGUAAUAGAGGUGAACAGGGUGUUGCUCAAUGUAUCUUCCUCAAGUCAACAGCAAUAACAGAGAUGAGGCAAGAAAUCAGGAAGAUGGCAACACGCCUGAUGCUGACAGUUUAAUUUUGCCCUUUAUUUACUAUCACAAUUUAUCUAAAUUUACAAAUAAAAUAUAAGGAAGUUUAUUUCAAA